UCUAACAGUUGCUCCACCCUCCUCUUUCUUCCUUUAUUCCCUGCUCUCUCUCAAGCUCCUCAAACUUUCCACUCCCCAGUCUCAACUGUAAUCGCCUGUCAGUGGGAGUGGAAAAAGGGAAGGAUGGGGAGGAAAUGAAGAAAACACAAACAAGACUACUCUUCUGAAGCUGCUGAAAUAACUCUUCUUAUCGAACACUCUACCCUAGGGCUGCCAGUUGGCAGUUGGAAGAAAAGGAAAAGCGAAGGGUAAAAAGAUGACAAGGUUAUCAGUCCAGAGAUGGAGUGAAUAUAUAAAAAGGCUACUCAGUGGUAGUAGUGACUCUGCGCUACCUCCUAGGCAGCCCAGUCCCACAGAGACCCAGCAGCUGGCCAGAAGGACUGUGUAUUGGCAGCUUUCACAAAAGUGGACUUUGUCAAGUCUGAAGAGUCUUCAAGUAUGAAACUUGGUGCACAAGCAUUUGUAUCACACCAUUUCAACACUGUUCCUAAUAUCAUAAAGCUGUUCAAUGUCCAAAAACUGGUGACUUACAAUGCACUUAAAAGGGGGAAAAAGAUCCUCAACCUGAUCAAGCCUCUAGACCUAAUUUACAGGAAAUACACGGGACAAAGGGACAUGGCAUGCACCAUUAAAGGGAUGCAAAUCCAGACUGCAGGAAACUGGAAAAGAGAAAUACCUCAAUUUCUUCUUCAACAACAAACAAAACAGGUCUGAGGGAGACAAAGAGAAAGAGGUAUCCAUGCCACAAAGCUAGCCAUGAGUUGACAACUGUUGAAGCCAGAUGAUGGAUACAUGAGAGUUUAAUUUUUUUUUUUGAUUUUUUUUUUAAGACAGAGUCUCACUCUGUCACCCAAACUAGAGUGCAGUGGUGCAAUCUUGGCUCACUGCAACCUUUGUCUCCCAGAUUCAAGCGAAUUGUCCUGUCUCAGCCUUUCCAGUAGCUGGUAUUACAGAUGCGCGCCACCAUAUCUGGCUAAUUUUUGUAUUUUCAGUAGAAAUGGGGUUUCACCAUGUUGGCCAGGCUGGUCUUGAACUUCUGACCUCAGGUGAUCUGCCCACCUCGGCCUCCCAAAGUGCUGGGAUUACAGGUGUGAGCCACCGCUCCCAGCCAUAAUUUUCUAUUCUCUCUACUUUUGUUUCUGUUUGAGAAUUUCCAUGGUGGAGGGGGGCAUUAAGGAGGACUGGAGAAAUUAUUACUAUAAGUACUACAAAAUAUAAACUUAAUUGCUUAUUACAUAUGAAAUUAUAUAACCAGAAACUUAAAGUUGGUCUUGAGAUCUUAAAGAAUCAGGCAAAAAUGUACAGCAUAUACAAUCCUGCUGAUGCACUAUUUUGCACAUUUCAUCACCUGAUAUUUAUUAAUCUGAAAAUCUAACAUAGUGCCUGCAUUAGGUACUCUAACCUACUGUUACAUAUGAAAUUUCAGAGCCACAUUUAAAAUUAUCAUUAAUCAAAAGUUAUAUGUCUACUGAAUGAUUUAGAGAAUGCACCACAAUACUCUAAUUAUUAAUAAGAAAAUACAAUAUCCUACAGCAUUAAAUGGACUAUUAAACUAAUUUUCUUGGCAAACAAAUUUGGAUGAAAUGCAUGUGGUUAGUGAAUAUAUGUUACUAUUAAUGCACUUAUAGCAUUAGAAAGCAACUAAAAAGAUGGUAAGUAUAAACUUUCCAUGUUCUCUACUGCCAGUCUUCUAUGUGUAUUAAAAGUAGGUUCUGUGAAAAUUUUAUUAGAAAGAAACUGAAAUGAGUUUGGAUGUCAUUUCAUGAACUAAAAAAAAUAUCUUUGCAUAAAAUUCUACAUGCAGCUCAUUUCUAAGAAUCAAAUCACUUUGACAAGGGAGGGACAAAGGUGUUAUUCCAAAGUAUUAUGUGAGAACAAACAUAUUUUAUUAUAUACUUCAGUUAAGUUUCAUUCACAUGACACUGUAGAUAAGUAUCAUGUUUUAGAAAAGGUAAUUACCAAGAAAACUACAGGUUCACUCUGAAAGCCCCCAAAUAAGAUUAACAUACACAAACCACUGGCAUGCCUCUGAAUACACUUUAAGGAUAUUUUUCAAAUUUCUUAUGUGUGUUUCUCUCAGGAAAGUAGAAUAAAGAGGUAUAAAGUUAUAUGACUUCUUUUUGGGGUAAAUAUACUAAUAAAAGGCU